CUAAGGCUCCAGAGGAAGCCACGGCUAACUCUGUGCCAGCAGCCGCGGUAAUACAGAGGCGGCAAGCGUUGUUCGGAAUUAUUGGGCGUAAAGAGCACGUAGGCGGCCUUGCAAGUCAGUUGUGAAAGCCUUCCGCUUAACGGAAGAAUGCCAGCUGAUACUACAGGGCAUGAGUACGGGAGGGGAGAGUGGAACUUCUGGUGGAGCGGUGAAAUGCGUAGAUAUCAGAAGGAACGCCGGCGGCGAAAGCGACUCUCUGGCCCGAAACUGACGCUGAGUGUGCGAAAGCUAGGGGAGCAAACGGGAUUAGAUACCCCGGUAGUCCUAGCCGUAAA
rnacentral:rRNA from 1 species